rnacentral:rRNA from 1 species
GAUGAACGCUGGCGGCGUGCCUAAUACAUGCAAGUCGAGCGAACGGACGAUAAGCUUGCUUCUCUGAUGUUAGCGGCGGACGGGUGAGUAACACGUGUAUAACCUACCUAUAAGACUGGGAUAACUUCGGGAAACCGGAGCUAAUACCGGAUAAUCUUUUGAACCGCAUGGUUCAAAAGUGAAAGACGGUCUUGCUGUCACUUAUAGAUGGAUCCGCGCUGCAUUAGCUAGUUGGUAAGGUAACGGCUUACCAAGGCAACGAUGCAUAGCCGACCUGAGAGGGUGAUCGGCCACACUGGAACUGAAACACGGUCCAGACUCCUACGGGAGGCAGCAGUAGGGAAUCUUCCGCAAUGGGCGAAAGCCUGACGGAGCAACGCCGCGUGAGUGAUGAAGGUCUUCGGAUCGUAAAACUCUGUUAUUAGGGAAGAACAUAUGUGUAAGUAACUGUGCACAUCUUGACGGUAACUAAUCAGAAAGCCACGGCUAACUACGUG